AAUAAGAUGCCUGAGGAAAAGGGCUAUCUUGAUAGGAUAGAUUAUACAAUUAAAUUGUUCUUAUUA
rnacentral:tRNA from 1 species